rnacentral:misc_RNA from 1 species
GAUGAAGAACGGAGCGAAAUGCGAUAAGUAAUGUGAAUUGCAGAAUUCAGUGAAUCAUCGAAUCUUUGAACGCACAUUGCGCCCCCUGGUAUUCCGGGGGGCAUGCCUGUCCGAGCGUCAUUACAACCCUCAAGCUCAGCUUGGUAUUGGGCCCCGCCGACCCGGCGGGCCCUAAAGUCAGUGGCGGUGCCGUCCGGCUCCGAGCGUAGUAAUUCUUCUCGCUCUGGAGGUCCGGUCGUGUGCUCGCCAGCAACCCCCAAUUUUUUUCAGGUUGACCUCGGAUCAGGUAGGGAUACCCGCUGAACUUAAGCAUAUCAAUAAGCGGAGGA